AGCAGCAGCCGCGGUAAUACGUAGGGUGCGAGCGUUAAUCGGAAUUACUGGGCGUAAAGCGUGCGCAGGCGGUCAUAUAAGACAGAUGUGAAAUCCCCGGGCUCAACCUAGGACCUGCAUUUGUGACUGUAUAGCUAGAGUACGGUAGAGGGGGAUGGAAUUCCGCGUGUAGCAGUGAAAUGCGUAGAUAUGCGGAGGAACACCGAUGGCGAAGGCAAUCCCCUGGACCUGUACUGACGCUCAUGCACGAAAGCGUGGGGAGCAAACAGGAUUAGAUACCCCGGUAGUCCCUGUCUCUUAUAC
rnacentral:rRNA from 1 species